GACGAACGCUGGCGGCGUGCUUAACACAUGCAAGUCGAACGGAAAGGCCCCUUUGGGGGUACUCGAGUGGCGAACGGGUGAGUAACACGUGAGUAACCUGCCCUUGACUUCGGGAUAACUUCAGGAAACUGGGGCUAAUACCGGAUAGGAAUCCUUGCUGCAUGGGGGGGGUUGGAAAGCUUCGGCGGUUUUGGAUGGACUCGCGGCUUAUCAGCUUGUUGGUGGGGUAGUGGCUUACCAAGGCUUUGACGGGUAGCCGGCCUGAGAGGGCGACCGGCCACAUUGGGACUGAGAGACGGCCCAGACUCCUACGGGAGGCAGCAGUGGGGAAUAUUGCACAAUGGGCGGAAGCCUGAUGCAGCAACGCCGCGUGCGGGAUGACGGCCUUCGGGUUGUAAACCGCUUUCAGCAGGGGCGAAGCUUGUGGUGACGGUACCUGCAGAAGAAGCACCGGCUAACUACGUG
rnacentral:rRNA from 1 species